rnacentral:pre_miRNA from 1 species
AAAAUACUCCCUCCAUCCCAAAAUUCUUGUCUUAGAUUUGUCUAGAUACGGAUGUAUCUAAUACUAAAACGUAACUAGAUACAUCCGUAUUUAGACAAAUGUAAGACAAGAAUUUGGGGACGGAGGGAGUAAUAC